rnacentral:rRNA from 1 species
GACGAACGCUGGCGGCGUGCUUAACACAUGCAAGUCGAACGGAAAGGCCCUGCUUUUGUGGGGUGCUCGAGUGGCGAACGGGUGAGUAACACGUGAGUAACCUGCCCUUGACUUUGGGAUAACUUCAGGAAACUGGGGCUAAUACCGGAUAGGAGCUCCUGCUGCAUGGUGGGGGUUGGAAAGUUUCGGCGGUUGGGGAUGGACUCGCGGCUUAUCAGCUUGUUGGUGGGGUAGUGGCUUACCAAGGCUUUGACGGGUAGCCGGCCUGGGAGGGUGACCGGCCACCUUGGGACUGAGAUACGGCGCAGACUGCUACCGGAGGCAGAAGGGGGGAAUAUUGCACAAUGGGCGGAAGCCAGAUGCAGCAACGCCGCGUGCGGGAUGACGGGCUUCGGGUUGUAAACCGCUGUCGCCUGUGACGAAGCGUGAGUGACGGUAAUGGGUAAAGAAGCACCGGCUAACUACGUG